AGGCUCGUCUAUGCAGGCAAUGCAGGUCACUAUCACCUUCUCCAUGUUGCUAUGAUGAAUGAAAUUGCUCUAAUCAGUAAUCCUAAUUUCAUGAAAAAGUUUUAAGUUGUUUUGCUUGCAUUUACAUCUUAUAAAAACUAGUCUAGUAAUAUACUUAAUGCCUAACAAAGAAUUUCAUUGCAGUGAAUUCAUUAUGACCUGGUGAUGGUGGAUUGGUGGUAAACCCUUCCAUUCCUCAGCCUCAGAAGUACCACGAUUUCGCUGACAAACGCACUUUCUUCGGUAUUAUUUUUAUUUUCUACAAUUCAACUUCACACCAACUUAAUAAAUUGAAUGUCACCUUAACUAACUAUAUGGCCUGUUCAAAUUUGCAUCAUGCAUUGUCAUACCUCUAAUGGCUUAUUUGUUGCCUCCAACCUACACUCAUUCAUCGUUUUGGCUCUUGGCUUCAGGUUUGGAAUUCUGAUGUAAUAGUACAAUCAAUACUCGUUUACAAAUAUCAUCUUCCAAUUUUAAUCUUUUGCAUGAUUUUAUCCUCUAGCUAUGGCUCAAGAGAGCACGGACAGGGCAUAUUGUGAGUGGUCACACGCUUAUGCACUUGUCUGCUGCAAUGGUUCCUGUCAUCACAACAUUCAUGCUUGCAAAGAGGAGGCCUUUGCAUGCAAAAUCUGUUUAACGCAUGCAGCAUUUCCUGGACGAUGUGGAGCGAAGCCAUAUUUUCUCUCUUGCAGAACUAUAGCAACUAAUAAAAGUUCAUAGUAACAUAUUUAUUAAUGGAACCAAUAAGUAAAGGAUGAUGCUAACAUCCAUGAUAAUGUAAAUUAUAACUGUUGCUUUGUUUCCUUCUUGUUGCCAAGAUGACUUUUGCACCAAUUUUUUAUUAUUUAGUGAUUUAUGGAUUGAUAGCUAGCUAGCCUCAACCACCUAAACCAGCAAUGCAUUUCAUACUCAUAUGGUAGCUGGACCUAAAUGAAGAAAAAAAAA